UACAGAGGUCCCGAGCGUUGUUCGGAUUCACUGGGCGUAAAGGGUGCGCAGGUGGGCUGGUAAGUUCGAUGUGAAAGCCCCGGGCUUAGCCCGGGAAAGGCAUUGGAUACUACUGGUCUGGAGGAUUGGAGGGAGGACUGGAAUUCUUGGUGUAGCAGUGAAAUGCGUAGAUAUCAAGAGGAACACCAGUGGCGAAGGCGAGUCCCUGGACAAUACCCGACACUGAGGCACGAAAGCCAAGGGAGCAAACAG
rnacentral:rRNA from 1 species